AGGCAGCAGUAGGGAUGUAUCUUCCGCAAUGGACGAAAGUCGUUGACGGAGCAACGCCGCGUGAGUGAUGAAGGCUUUCGGGUCGUAAAACUCUGUUGUUAGGGAAGAACAAGUGCUAGUUGAAUAAGCUGGCACCUUGACGGUACCUAACCAAAAAGCCACGGCUAACUACGUGCCAGCAGCCGCGGUAAUACGUAGGUGGCAAGCGUUAUCCGGAAUUUUUGGGGGUAAAGCGCGCGCAGGUGGUUUCUUAAGUCUGAUGUGAAAGCCCCCGGCUCAACCGUGGAGGGUCAUUGGAAACUGGGAGACUUGAGUGCAGAAGAGGAAAGUGUAAUUCCAUGUGUAGCGUUUGAAAUGCGGAAAAGAUAUGGAGGAAACACCACUCGGGGAAGGGCCCUUUCUUUGUCUUUACAUACUUUGAGGCGGGAAAGGGUUGGGAGCAAACAGGAUUAGAUACCUGUAAUCCAGCCGUAAACGGUGAAUGGUAAGUGUUGGAGGGUUUCCGCCCUUAGUCUGGAGUUAACGCCAUAAGCCAUCCGCCUGGGGAGUACGGCCGCAAGGCUGGAAAUUCAAGGAAUUGGCCGGGGGCCCCACAAACGGUGGAACCCUGGGGUUAAUUUGGAGCCACGGGGAGGACCUUUCCCAGUUUUUACCAUCUUUGGCCACCCUUGGGAUAGGGGUUUUCCUUUCGGAGCAGAAUGACCGGGGGGGCAAGGGUGUUGUCAACUUCUGUUGUGAGAUGUUUGGGUAAAUCCCGCAACGAGCGCCACCCCUGAUUCUAGUUUCCCUCAUUCAGUUGGGCCCUUCAAGGGGGCCGCCGGGGACCAACCGGAGGAAGGGGGGGAUUAAGUCAAAUCAUCCUGCCCCUUAUGACCUGGGGUUCCCCCGUGCCACCAUGGGCGGUACAAAGAGCCGCAAGGCCGCGAGGGGGAACUAAUUUCAUAAAACCGUUUUCCGUUUGGAUUGUAGGGCGCAAAUUGCCUACCAGAAGCUGGAAUUGCUUGUAAUUGCGGAUCAACCAUCCGCGGGGAAAACGUUUCCGGGCCUUGUACCCCCCCCCCGUCCCCCCCCGGGAGUUUGUUACCCCCGAAGUUGGGGGGGUAAGGGGGUGGACCCAGCCGCCUAAGGUGGGACAGAUGAUUGGGGUGAAGUCGAACCAGAGUCAGGGG
rnacentral:rRNA from 1 species